AAAUAUAUCCAACAGAAACCUCGUCUGGAAUGUGGGUCUCAUGAACGACUUAACGUAGCAACAUACCACGCAAGCCUCAUGACUAUCCACUCUAACACUUAUGUGUACACUCAAGCCUGGGUAGUGGGCUUAUCUCUCAUAGAACAGUCCCAACCCAACAAACAAACAACCCACAGAUACAACAAGCAUAUGUACAUGAAUGCAAUAAGGUAAAGCAGGUAAAUGCUGAAAAUAAAUAAUUGUACAAAACAAUAAACACCCAACAAACAAGAACCCUACAAAAGCUAGGAGGGACUCGCUUAGGGAAACCAGUUCCCCAGCAGAGUCGCCAGCUGUCGCAACCCGAAAAAUACGGUGCGAAAAAACAACCGGCGAAAGAAAAUGACAGAAGAGUCGCCACCGUGCGUUAUUUAUCCCAAAGGAGGGAAAGGAAACGCUCAAAGUAAACCGGAGAAAGGAAAGGAAAAGACAAGGUCUCGCAACCAAAUCUUGAGUUCGGGAGUCGAUUAUGCGAAGGGAAGGUAUUAGCACCCCUACGCAUCCGUAGUACUCUACGGGAUCCACUCUUGUUUGUUUCUUGUCUAAAGGGUGUAUGUUUAUCUAAUGCACUAUUUACUAAAAGGGGCAAGAGAAAAAUGACUCGCACAGAUAUCACGUCCACUGCAUACGUAUCUCAUCUGAAUAUGAGAAUCAGAGUCUUCGUAGCUCGGCUACCUAGGGGUUAAGGAUAAGUGUGCUCGCUAAGACGUCGCGUCUUAUGCCUACGUAUCUCAU
rnacentral:lncRNA from 1 species